AUCUAAUUAUACAAAUGCUGUUUAAAAAGGUGAGUUUUCACCAUCCACAGCAUCCACUGGAGGCCCACCACAGCAUCCACAGCAACCACAGCAUCCACAGCAUCCACAGCAUCCACAGCAUCCACAGCAUCCACACCAUCCACACCAUCCACAGCAUCCACAGGAGGCCCACAGCAUCCACAGCAUCCACAGGAGGCCCACAGCAUCCACAGCAUCCACAGCAUCCACAGCAUCCACAUCAUCCACAGCAUCCACAGCAUCCACAGGAGGCUCACCACAUCAUCCACAUCAUCCACAGCAUCCACAGGAGGCCCACCACAGCAUCAACAGCAUCCACAGGAGGCCCACAGCAUCCACAGCAUCCACAGGAGGCCCACAGCAUCCACAGCAUCCACAGGAGGCCCACAGCAUCCACAGCAUCCACAGGAGGCCCACAGCAUCCACAGCAUCCACAGCAUCCACAGGAGGCCCACCACAGCAUCCACAGCACCCACAGCACCCACAUCAUCCACAGCACCCACAUCAUCCACAGCAUCCACAGCAUCCACAGGAGGCCCACCACAGCAUCCACAGGAG
ensembl:lncRNA